UUUUUUCAACUAUACACAAAAUAGGAUACCAAUAAACUUUCUUCUCAAAAAAAAGUAGACAAAUAAAGUUCAUGUCACAGUCAACUCUUACAAUCAUUUCCGACAUAUUUAUGGCAUUAGAUCACCAACAAUAAGCCGCUAAUUAAAAAAUGGGCGCACAAAUGAGCCGAACGUUCCGCCGCGCCGGCAGCCUCCGUCCGCCGGCGGCGGCUGAGCCACCUGCUGCAAAUCAUGACCUCAACUCCUCCAAUUCUGCUUCCGCUGACUCCGACCUGAGCUCGUACGAAGCGGCGUGCCGCUCCGACCCCGACCUCCAAAACUUCGACUCGAAGCUCCAGAUCCGCACAAGCCGCGCCAUCAACUCCAUCUCCGUGGGCCUCGACGCCCGCUCCCUCCCCCUCGACUCCCUCCGCGAAGUCACCGAAUACCUCCUCGAGAUGAACCAGGAGGUCGUCACAAUCAUCCUCCAAAACAAGCGCGACAUUUGGAAAGACGACGAAUUCUCCGAUCUCGUCGACGACUACUUCGAGAACAGCCUCCUCACCUUGGAUUUCUGCACCUCCCUCGAUUCGUGCCUCAAACGCGCCGCGCGCAUCGAAUCGGUCGUCAACGUCGCCCUCCGCAAAUUCGACGACGAGCGAGCAAAUGCGGGGAGGAAUUACUCGAGAACUCUGGCGGAAUUGGGGAAUUUCAGCGCCGCGGAGGAGCCGUUCACGCAGGAGUUCUUCAAGGUCUUCGCUCGCGUCUACGCGAAGCAGGCGUCGAUGCUGGAGAGGCUGCAGGCGAAGAAGCAAAACCUAGACAGAAAAUUGGGGAAAUUGCAGGCGUGGAGGAAGGUCUCGAAUGUGAUAUUCGUGGUGACAUUCGCCGCCGUUCUUGUGUGCUCGGUGGUGGCGGCGGCGGUGAGCGCUCCGCCGGUGGUGACGGCGCUGGCGGCGGCGGCGGCCGUGCCGCUGGGGUCGAUGGGGAGAUGGCUGAACACGCUGUGGAAGAAGUGCGAGAGGGAUCUGAGAGGGCAGAGGGCGAUAAUCAGCUCGAUGGAGAUUGGGACGUACAUUGUGCUUCAGGAUUUGGCAAACAUAAAGGCGCUUGUAGAGAGGUUCCAAGUGAGGAUGGAGGAGUUGUUGGCGAACGCGGAUUUCGCGACGAGGGAGGAGGAGGCGGUGGUGGCGGCGGCGGAGGAGAUCAGGAAGAAGUUGGAUGAGUUUAUGAAAACGGUUCGUGAUUUGAGUGAUCAUGCCAAUAAGUGCACUCAAGAAACAAGGAUGGCGAGAACUUUGAUAUUGCGUAGGAUUGUCAAUCAUCCCAACACCUCCAAUGAGGAAACCGGAAUCCCCACCUCCCAUUUGAACGGCGGCCUUUAAGCCCCGCGCAGCCCCAUCUCCGAUGUCGCACCCCACCGCCCUAGCUCUAGUCGACGAGAGAAAGCAAAAAGUUUGUCAUCACUGCAACAGCUCAUCAGCAAGCUCGGAGCAACUCCAGCCAUCGCGGAUGCGGACCCUGCACCACCGUCUCCGUCCCACAACAGCACCUCCAAUAGCUCAACAAACAAUGUCACAGUAGCGCAGGAAAAACAAAUCUUGGCCACUCAACUUAGAGAAAGUAGUGGACCGCCCUAUCAGGUUAUAACACAAAAACAGAUGACAAAUACGCAACACUGGAUCAACAAUGUCGGACACAACAGGCCGGGAAGUAUCAAAAGGCUUGAGUCAAUUCUUUUCGGCACGGUAAUUAAGAAAAUUUAUAAUGUACAAAAAAUUUAUAAUGUACAAAAAAUAAUACUCCCUGCGUCCCGUGAAUCUUGAGUCAAUUCUUUUCGGCACGAGAAUUAAGAAAAUAGUAUUUAGUGUGUUAAGUGUGGUAGGUGAAAAAGUGAAUAAAGGAGAAUCUUUUUGCUAUAUAAGGAAAUGACUCAAGAUUCGUGAGACGGCCAAAAAAGGAAAGUGACUCAAGAUUCGUGGGAUGGAAGGAGUAAUAAAUAAACAUAUUAUUUUAAAUAUAUUUUCGUAAUGGAUACAAA